GGCUCGGUAGCUUAGUUGGUAAAGCGCUCGUCUAGCAUACAAGAGUCCUGGGUUCAAAUCGCAGCCAAGCAC
rnacentral:tRNA from 1 species